ACGGGUGAGGAACGCGUAGGAAUCUGCCUUACAGAGGAGGACAACUAGAGGAAACUCUAGCUAAUACUGCAUAAACUCUGAGGAGCAAAAGCUAGGUAGCAAUACCUGGCGCUGUAAGAGGAGCCUGCGUCCGAUUAGCUAGUUGGUAGGGUAAAGGCCUACCAAGGCGAUGAUCGGUAGCUGGUCUGAGAGGAUGAUCAGCCACACUGGGACUGAGACACGGCCCAGACUCCUACGGGAGGCAGCAGUGGGGAAUAUUGGACAAUGGGGGCAACCCUGAUCCAGCAAUGCCGCGUGUGUGAAGAAGGCCUUCGGGUUGUAAAGCACUUUAGGUUGGGAAGAAGGUGCGUAGUUUAAGAGAUGACGUACUUGACUGUACCAACAGAAUAAGCACCGGCUAACUCUGUGCCAGCAGCCGCGGUAAUACAGAGGGUGCAAGCGUUAAUCGGAGUUACUGGGCGUAAAGGGCGCGUAGGCGGUUAGAUAAGUGAGAUGUGAAAGCCCUGGGCUUAACCUAGGAAUUGCAUCUUAUACUGUUUGACUAGAGUACUGUAGAGGGUAGUGGAAUUUCCGGUGUA
rnacentral:rRNA from 1 species